UAUCUUGUUUCUUUCUUGUUUUUUGUGUGUUUGGUUUUAAUUUCAUAAUCAUCUGUUCGUCAAGCCUUUAUUAUCUUAUCAUAGUUCUUCAGUGUGAAACAAGUAGUGAAAACUAUUACAUUAUGAAAUCUGGGGUAAAGAUGCAGGGGAUCAUUCAGAUUUACUGUACAGUGACUAAGAAUUGUUUUGUGUUAUAUCUGUCAUAGAGCAUUACAUUGCUUUUCAAUUCACUAACCAUCUUUUGGAGUGGAGCUAUCGUAGCCAACCUAGCCAUCACCAUAAUGAUAACAAAUACAGAAGUAGUGGACGAUGCAGUAUCCUACAAACUGAUUCUAUGCAGCAUCCUCUCAAGAAAAACUAGGCUCGCUGGAGAGCACACUAUGGAAACUUAUUUUGAAUGCGCUGGUUGACACAGAAGAGGCUAGCUAACAUGGCAUUGAAGGUGGCUUUUAUUGGAAAUGCUUCCUCAAAGAGAUUGUCUGUAUGACAGAAAUAAGAACCAAGAACCACUGCCCACAAGAGGCAAAGAAUAGCCUGUAGCUCUUAUUGCCACAUUGGGUAAUGGUCCAGGAGAUCUAUAUUUGCCGUCGACUAGCCUUAUUUAAUGGCAAUAAAAUGCAAGUCAUACUUGGUAAAAAUCAAGUGCAUUAAGUUCUUUCUUGAAAUUGCAUUUGAUAUUCUAGAUGAUGAGAACUUAAGCAUGGCCCAAGAGCAUUUGAUAACAUGAGUCAGUAACACUAAAAUUGGCA